rnacentral:rRNA from 1 species
UUACCAAAAACAUAGCUUUAAGAAUACAUUAUAAAUAGUGACGCCUGCUCAAUGAUUGCGUCAUACAGAAAAAUAACAAUUUAAUAGCUGCGGUAACACCUAACCGCACAAAGGUAGCACAAUAAAUAGCCUGCUAACUACAGGAUCGCAUGAAGGCAUAACGAAACUUUAACUGUCUCAAGAUUACUAACCCAAAUUAGACUGUGUGUGCAAAUUCACACUAAAACAGCAAGACGAUAAGACCCUAUGAACUUUACCAAAACUCCAAAACUUUACUUAUACAUUAUAAUAAAAUAAGAUACAUAUAUCUUGGAAUUUAAGUUUCGUUGGGGCAACGAUCUCAAAAUAAAUAAAUAAGAUUAUACACAAUCAACCAUUACAAAAUAGACAUAUAAGUUAAACAUCAUAAAAGAUAAGACCCAUUAAUAAAAAUAAUUUAAUGAACAUAAAAUAAAAGCUCCUUAGGGAUAACAGCGUAAUAUUGUAUAUAAAGAUUCUUCUCAAACAAUGUUUGCGACCUCGAUGUUGAAUUA